AGAGUUUGAUCAUGGCUCAGAACGAACGCUGGCGGCAGGCUUAACACAUGCAAGUCGAGCGCCCCGCAAGGGGAGCGGCAGACGGGUGAGUAACGCGUGGGAAUCUACCCAAUACUACGGAAUAGCUCCGGGAAACUGGAAUUAAUACCGUAUGUGCCCUACGGGGGAAAGAUUUAUCGGUAUUGGAUGAGCCCGCGUUGGAUUAGCUAGUUGGUGGGGUAAUGGCCCACCAAGGCGACGAUCCAUAGCUGGUCUGAGAGGAUGAUCAGCCACACUGGGACUGAGACACGGCCCAGACUCCUACGGGAGGCAGCAGUGGGGAAUAUUGGACAAUGGGCGAAAGCCUGAUCCAGCCAUGCCGCGUGAGUGAUGAAGGCCUUAGGGUUGUAAAGCUCUUUCAGUGGGGAAGAUAAUGACGGUACCCACAGAAGAAGC
rnacentral:rRNA from 1 species